GGAAGGGGAGAGCCGCGAUUGGCCAGCCAGGGGAGGGCGUGACCGCGAUUGGCCAGCCCAGCAAUGGCGGGGCCGCGAUUGGCCAGACCGGGAAGGGCGGGACUGGGGUGGGGCUUGAGCGGCGCUGAGGGCGGAGCGGGGCGGUGUGGUUCACGCUGAACCGUGUACGCAGGACCACACAUGUUUUAAACACCUCCGGGGGUGGUGGCUCCACCACUGCCCUUGUCCAGUGCGGUUUCCAGUUUGAGCUUCACCCGAACAACCUGUUCGCUCUUGUUCUGCCACUUUACAUUUCAGUCUCUUCUCCCGAGCGGAGCAAUCCCCACUGAUGUUUGUGAUGUAAAUGCAGCCGUGUCUGGAGCUUUGGACAAGAGGUGCUAUGAAGAAGUUCUUCUCCUUCAGUGGCAGAACAGGCAGCUCUGGACUGCUGAUUCCUGGGAAACUACACCAUGAGAUACAGUCUUGAUUUCUCUGAGACAGUAAAUAGAAGCCUUUAUUCAGGCAGUGCAGUCAACCUCCUGAACAGUGCACUGAAAAUAUAAUUCCCACCAUCAAGAUGCACUUGGUCUGAAGAACUUGCUGCAACAUCUGUAUGUUGUGCUAAAGAAAGCUGUGUGAAGACUCUAAGCUUGUAAACUGAAUUUUUUAACGUUAGUUUUUGUUGGCAUGACUCUGUUAUAUUCAGUUAACAACUAGAUCCUAAAAUAUGCAAGCAUUUGUGUGUGUAUGAUUAAAUAAAUAAACUCACUAAUGACCAUUCUGUAUAUACACAGCCAGGUAAUUCUGUUGUCAAGUUUUCAGACAUUGCAAUUUAAAAUAAAGCUACUGGCCAAC
rnacentral:lncRNA from 12 species